rnacentral:rRNA from 1 species
GACGAACGCUGGCGGCGUGCUUAACACAUGCAAGUCGAACGGAAAGGCCCUGCUUUUGUGGGGUGCUCGAGUGGCGAACGGGUGAGUAACACGUGAGUAACCUGCCCUUGACUUUGGGAUAACUUCAGGAAAAUGGGGCUAAUACCGGAUAGGAGCUCCUGCUGCAUGGUGGGGGUUGGAAAGUUUCGGCGGUUGGGGAUGGACUCGCGGCUUAUCAGCUUGUUGGUGGGGAAGUGGCUUACCAAGGCUUUGACGGGUAGCCGGCCUGAGAGGGUGACCGGCCACAUUGGGACUGCGAUCCGGCCCAGCCUCCUACGGGUGGCAGCAGUGGGGCAUAUUGCACAAUGGGCGGAAGCCUGAUGCAGCAACGCCGCGUGCGGGAUGACGGCCUUCGGGUUGUAAACCGCUUUCGCCUGUGACGAAGCGUGAGUGACGGUAAUGGGUAAAGAAGCACCGGCUAACUACGUG